rnacentral:rRNA from 1 species
GCCCGCGGCCUAUCANCUUGUUGGUGGGGUAAUCGGCCUGCCAMGGCGACGACGGGUAGCCKGCCUGARAGGGCSACCGGCCACACUGGGACUGAGACACGGCCCAGACUCCUACGGGAGGCAGCAGUGGGGAAUAUUGCACAAUGGGCGCAAGCCUGAUGCAGCGACGCCGCGUGAGGGAUGACGGCCUUCGGGUUGUAAACCUCUUUCAGCAGGGACGAAGCGUGAGUGACGGUACCUGCAGAAGAAGCACCGGCCAACUACGUGCCAGCAGCCGCGGUAAUACGUAGGGUGCAAGCGUUGUCCGGAAUUACUGGGCGUAAAGAGCUCGUAGGCGGUUUGUCGCGUCGUCUGUGAAAACCAGCAGCUCAACUGUUGGCUUGCAGGCGAUACGGGCAGACUUGAGUAUUUCAGGGGAGACUGGAAUUCCUGGUGUAGCGGUGAAAUGCGCAGAUAUCAGGAGGAACACCGSUGGCGAAGGCSGGUCUCUGGGA